GAGUUUGAUCAUGGCUCAGGAUGAACGCUAGCGGCAGGCUUAACACAUGCAAGUCGAGGGGUAGCAGGGAGCUUGCUCCGCUGACGACCGGCGAACGGGUGCGUAACGCGUAUAGAAUCUACCUCUUACUAAGGGAUAGCCCAGAGAAAUUUGGAUUAAUAUCUUAUAGUAUACAGACCUGGCAUCAGGAUUGUAUUAAAGGUUACGGUAAGAGAUGACUAUGCGUCCUAUUAGCUAGAUGGUGUGGUAACGGCACACCAUGGCUACGAUAGGUAGGGGCCCUGAGAGGGGGAUCCCCCACACUGGUACUGAGACACGGACCAGACUCCUACGGGAGGCAGCAGUGAGGAAUAUUGGACAAUGGAGGCAACUCUGAUCCAGCCAUGCCGCGUGCAGGAAGACUGCCCUAUGGGUUGUAAACUGCUUUUAUACAGGAAGAAACACUCUCACGUGUGAGAGCUUGACGGUACUGUAAGAAUAAGGAUCGGCUAACUCCGUGCCAGCAGCCGCGGUAAUACGGAGGAUCCAAGCGUUAUCCGGAAUCAUUGGGUUUAAAGGGUCCGUAGGUGGAUGAUUAAGUCAGAGGUGAAAUCCUGCAGCUCAACUGUAGAAUUGCCUUUGAUACUGGUUGUCUUGAGUUAUUAUGAAGUAGUUAGAAUAUGUAGUGUAGCGGUGAAAUGCAUAGAUAUUACAUAGAAUACCAAUUGCGAAGGCAGAUUACUAAUAAUAUACUGACACUGAUGGACGAAAGCGUGGGGAGCGAACAGGAUUAGAUACCCUGGUAGUCCACGCCGUAAACGAUGGUCACUAGCUGUUCGGACUUCGGUUUGAGUGGCUAAGCGAAAGUGAUAAGUGACCCACCUGGGGGAGUACGUUCGCAAGAAUGAAACUCAAAGGAAUUUGACGGGGGCCCGCACAAGCGGUGGAGCAUGGUGGUUUAAUUCGAUGAAUACGCGAGGACCUUACCAGGCUUAAUGUAGAUUGACAGGUUUAGAAAUAGACUUUUCUUCGAACAAUUACAAGGUGCCUGCAUGAUGGUCGUCAGCUCGUGCGGUGAGGUGUCAGUAGUCUAUAAAGCGGAUCCAGCAACUUGCCGCCGUACUAUGGAUCGACUGUACAGCCUGGGCGUAUCAUGUCCAUGCUGAUUUCCUGUGCGUGGAAAAUG
rnacentral:rRNA from 1 species